rnacentral:rRNA from 1 species
UCCAAAUACGGAGGAAAAGAAACCAACAGGGAUUGCCUUAGUAGCGGCGAGUGAAGCGGCAAUAGCUCAAAUUUGA